CUCCAGCCUGGGCAACACAGGGAGACCCUGUCUCAAAAAAGAAAAAAAUUGGUUAAGGAAAACGCAGCUGUUCGGCUGGAGGCCUUUGGUUGUUGGGAUAUAGCAGAAGUGUGGGAAAUGCUGAAAGAGGCCAUCAAAGCCCAGCUGGCCAGAUAACCCAUGGAAACCCUUCCCAGUGUGGAUCCUAUCAUCCUGGGCCAUUACUUAUUUGGCAUUUAGACAUAGGUGAUUUGCAAUUUCAGAUUCUAGAUUUUCUCCUCCAUUAAAAUGUAAACCUUUACAAUGGAAAAGUUUGUUGUCUCUUGUUUACUGCUAAUUCUCUAGUGUCUAGAUACAGCUAUCAGCUUCACCUUUGAGCUCCCGAAAGUCCUCAAAUGGGCCUUCAAGUUCUGACACAAUCUCCCCCAUCCCGUGUUACCGCUCUGAUUUUAUCUCCUACUACUCUGUGAAAUCUAGCUAGAUAUAUUCAGGAGUAGUUAAGACUUUUGGGCAUAUGAAAGACAUCUAGCAGCAAAAUGUAGUAGAAAGAUUUAGAAUGAAUCAUGUUUGAGGUCUAAGUUCUAGUGCUGCUACUAUUUCCUGGGGUGAAACUGGGCCAAAUCAUGUGACCUUUGCAGGCUUUAGCCUCCACACUGAAAGAGUUUUGGAUCGGGGUGCUUCUAAUCGUAAAUUUAAUGGCAAUGCUAUCCUUGGUUAUAGCAUAAUAUGAAGUUGAUUUAUCCAUUCAGAAACAUUUCUGAGUAUUUUUGGUCCCUGGUGUGAAAUUGUGAAUCUUAGCCUGGUGAUUCAUAGGCUAACAGCUGCUUUCCCACCCUCUACCCCAAGCUCAGGGCUUUGCAAUGGGGGCGGCAGUAUGGCCAGAGCUGACAUCAUGUCCCAUUCUUCCUAGAUCCAAGUCAUUUCCAUCAAGCAGCAUUUCCCAGGCUUUUGUCAUUCAGGUCCCAUCUCCACGAUUUUUACUAUAUCACAUUCUAUCUAUAUUAUUGUUUACUUAAUGUCUUUCUUUAGACCACUCCCUCUCUAUAUUUUUUACCUUGCAUCUGCCCUAAGCAGCAGUUAUAGCUGUGAAUAGCUUUGAAAUUGGAUAUGCCCGCUAUACUUUUUUCUGAAGCACAUGAAAACAAAUACACAACCAUAAUCCACCAUAACUAUGCACCACUAAGAUUGUCUUGAGUAACUCUAGUGGUUUGCCUUUCACACUUUGGGAAACACCACCGUGAAGGUGAGGGACAGAGCUCUGGAGCCUUCACUGCCUUCCGUGUCCUUCCAGUGAUCUUAGGCCUUGGGAGGAAAGAAAAAGCCAUUCUCAAUGAAAAUCUAAGGGAGCCCUUUCCAAGGCACUGGAGAUUGUUCACUUUAUUUUGAUUUGGAAUGUAGUGCAGAAAUGACUAAGCCUUCCCGAGAGGCCAAGGGCUGCUGGAAAGAAGAAAGAAAGGUAUUAUGCUGGCUUAAAAAACAGAAGUCAAUGGGAAAGGAACAUGCUGAAGGGAAAGAGCAAUUAGCUGAAGUAAAAUAAAGCAGCAGAAAAGUGAGAGGAGUGCUGGGGAAAACUGCUGCAGAGAAAUGCAGUUGUUCUUAGCAGCAAAGCAUUAGUGGAAGUUGAGAGACUUUGCAGAGAUCCUCAUUUCCUCCUCAUUUUGGACUUUCGGAUUCCCUCUCUCUUAUGAUGUGAGAACUGAUUAGAUACACACAGGGUCUCAGCUUGGAGGCCCAAAGUAUGAUAUUCUUCAAUAUGCGUCCUGCUAUUGGAAUCAUGCUCUAAACAGGUCAGCUCCUCUAUGACAUAUAGUUUUGGCAUGAAAGAUGGAUCUAAGACUACCAGAGAGAAAGAGUUAGAAAUGACUGUAGACUUUCUCUAGCAUCUUUUCAUACUUAAUUAAGAAAGGGAAGGACCUUAGCCUUUAUCAUGAUAUAGAUUUUAUUGACUUAGGCCCACAUAUCUGCAAGGGUCAGCCAAAUUUAAAUUGUAAACAUGUUUUUAGAGAAUCUGAAUUUCACAGCACAACUGGCUUGAGCGAUUGGAAACAAGAUGCAGGACCCCAACACAGACACUGUGUGGAAUGACAUCUUAGGCAAAAAGGGCAUCUUACCCACCAAGAAAAGUCUAAAAGAAUUGGAAGAGGAGGCAGAAGAGGAGCAGUGCAUCCUUCAGCAGUCAGUGGUGACAUCAUACAAAGAUAUGACUUUGGAAGAGCUGGAGGAUGAUGAAGACAAGUUUAAUGAGGAGGAUGAACAUGCUAUUGAAAUGUACAGAUGGCCGAGACUCACUGAGUGGAAAGCAAUUCAACUGAAGAAUAUAUUUGGAGAAGUUUUGGAGGUCUCAAGGAAGUAUUAUGUUCAAGAAGUUACCAAAGCGGGUGAGGGCUUGUGGGUCAUCUUGCACCUUUAUAAACAAGGAAUUCCCCUCUGUGCCCUGAUAAAUCAGCACCUCAGUGGACUUGCCAGAAAGUUUCCUGAUGUCAAAUUUAUCAAAGCCAUUUUCAACAACCUGCAUACCCAAUUAUCCUGAUAAGAAUCUGCCCAUGAUAUUUGUUACCUGGAAGGAGACAUCAAGGCUCAGGUGAUCAGUCCUCUGGCAUCUGGCGGCAUGAACCUGACAAGAGAUGAGUUGGGGUGAAAACUGUCUGAAUCUGGAGCAAUUAAGAUGGACUUGGAGGAAAACCCUAAGAAGCUGAUUAAAGAUGUGUUGCUGUCCUCAGUGCGGAGCUCUGUCCCCAUGAGGAGGGACAGCAAUUCUGAGGGUGACUGAGGCUGCAGCUGCUAUCACAUGCUGAACUUUCUUGUGACAAAUUGUCUGGAUUUUUUAAAAAAAGAAAAAGCAAGAAUGAAUCCUUUUGGUUUUUAGUUUUGUAUAAAUUAUGUUUCAAAUCUUUACGUUUCAGAAAUAAUCAUUGCUGGAAAUUCCGUUAAAUAUUUUGGAACUCUUUUUUUAAACUAUAGUAUUUCCUCUAAAAAAAAUUAAAACCAGCUAUUGGUAUGGCAAAAAAAAAAAAGAAAA